GACAGAGGCCUCAAGCGUUAGGCGGAAUCACUGGGCUUAUAGCGUGUGUAGGCGGAUCGUUAAGUGUCUUGUGAAAUCCCACGGCUCACCCGUGGAACUGCUGGGCAUACUGGCGAUCUUGGGCCAACUAGGGGCAACUGGAACAAGCGGUGGAGCGGUAAAAUGCGUAGAUAUCGCUUGGAACGCCGAAGGUGAAAACAGGUUGCUGGGGUUGUGCCGACGCUGAGACACGAAAGCCAGGGGAGCAAACGGG
rnacentral:rRNA from 1 species